rnacentral:lncRNA from 1 species
UAUUGGCUAAGCAAGUCUCAAGAGUUGAUGAAGUAGACUCUAUCUCUUGAUGAACUACAAAGGAACGUCUGAAAGGUUGUAGAUAUGGGGAGAGGUGAACCAUUAUGGCCAUUGUACUCAAUCCACUAUUUUGAAAAAGGAUGGAACUGGGACUAGGACCCUGUUUCGUGCCUCCAGAUCAGGCUGGAGUGAUCACUGGGAAACCACAUCCAACUGACCUGUGGAAAACAGCGUGCCUAGCAUUGUACAGAAGAGAGAGGACCUUCUGGGAACCGGCAAAGGGCUCCUGGGAUGGUGGGAGAGGUGCUUUAGUGAUCCUGGAUUUGUGGAUUUUCUCCUCCAUGAAAUGAUGGAAAUAGUGAUUUUGCAACCACAGUUCCCCAAGAACUCCUGUUUUUAUGGACCUGAGGAUCCCUGUUUAGACAGUCAACCACCAUUCCAAACAGGCUUGGCAAGUGAUGUUUUCUCUCCUCUUGCGUUUGAGAUUAUGCCCAUUUCUUUUCCUAUACUAGAAUUAAAUGAAUUAAAAUGAAUUUCUGCCCAUGUACCUAUUUUAGAGUAAAUAUUCUGUCUCUGAGUAUUUUUUACCUUUCCCAGGAAUAAUUUCAGAAAUGUUUUGGAAAAAGAUCACCCUUUUCCAUCUCCGUGGGUGCACUUUGUUGCAGAGAUAAAGCUG